rnacentral:misc_RNA from 1 species
UUUUGAGGAGUAUUACCUAGAAUGGACCCAGAACCACUGAAUGGCUCUGUGUGAUGUAGAAAUUGAAGAAAAUUCUACAGCAGAAAUAUUUGUUUUUUUUUUAUAUAACUUUAAAACAGCAUCAAUUUAUCAGUCAGGAAUUAUGAAACAAGUAUUUUUUGGGGAAUCUUAUACUUUUUAUACAAUUAUAAGACAAAGAUCAAAUAUAUAUUUUGUAACCUUUGCAUUUACCAGGGCACAUUCAUGUUGUUGAUAUACGCAGAUUGUUCAAUGAAAUGGACUGAAUUUGGAUAAAACAAGUAAUUAAUGUCAUGGAAAUCGUUGUUUUGAUGUUAAAUUAUCAUCAUGUUGUGUACAGGUCAUUAGCAUUUGAUUUCUUUUGAAUUCGAAAAUUUAACGUAAUAUUUUUAAAACUCUAUUUGCUAUAAAUUGAUAUUUCAUGUUGAACAAUACCUGUUUCAGGGAUAUAUAUAUAUAUACACAUAUCAGUAGCCUUCUGUUUCAUUAUCUCAUCUUAAUAUUUUAUACAUCAUUUAAUAUGGAACUCUUGCCAUUAGUUUGCGGAUAAAUACGAUGAAAGAAAAAUGGGGGGAGGGGGGAUUCUCUUCUGGGCUUUUCAUUAUUAUCAAUCAGAAUUGAAAUGUUAUUCUCAUGUUGUGCAUUCUUUAUUUUACAUGGAUGGGGGGAUGGGGGCUGUUAUAACAUAGGGAUGGGGCUGUUAUUACGAACUGUUUCGUGUUUUUAUUGUGAUAUAUAUACAAAAAGUUAUUCUAUCAGGGGAAGAAAUUUCAUGCAUUAGUGAUAUCCUAAAUAAUUUGGAUUGAAAAAAUGUUCCAGUUUGUGAAGUUAACAUUUACAAAAGAAAACAGAAUGUAUUAUUUUACAAUGGUUUUAUUUCUCAUCCAUGUUUUAUAUAAAAUUAUGUAUAUGGUGUUUUAUCUUCAGUGUACAUACCACUACAUUGUGUAGUUGUUGUUAAAAUAAACAAUCAAGAUU